GGGCCUAUAGUUCAGUGGUAGAAUAUCGCACUCCAAACGCGCAGACCGAGGUUCGAGUCCUCGUGGGCCCGCAA
rnacentral:tRNA from 5 species